GAGUAAACCCUAGUCUCACCUUGCUUCAACCUGCACGUAAUCAGAAGCAGCUCUGUGGCCAUUAUGGGUGAAGAAGUCAAGGCAUUGAUUCCGGAGUCAGUCUUGAAGAAGAGGAAGAGGAAUGAAGAAUGGACAUUGUCAAAGCAGCAAGAACUUGAAGCGGCCAAAAACAAGAAUGCAGAGAAUCGUAAAUUGAUUUACAACAGAGCUAAGCUAUAUUCAAAGGAGUAUGAAGAGCAGGAAAAAGAGCUCAUUAGACUGAAGC
rnacentral:misc_RNA from 1 species